rnacentral:tRNA from 1 species
ACUUUAAUAGCUUAUAAAGAGCAUAAUAUUGAAGAUAUUAAGGAAACCUUUGGUUUUAAAGUA